CAAUUUGUUUUGAGAUUUUUACCCCGAACUACGAGGUUUUGAUCCUAAUAUUUUUAUAAGAUGGUACGUAGGCAAUGGGUUUAUCCAUCCAAACACAAAAUGUAAAUAACUUGUACAUUCUCUUCUCAUCUCUUCAAUCAUGUUUGCACAAAUAAAAUUUUCACAAGACAAACUACCUUACAACAAUGUGAAAAGGGCUCCCUAGGAGUACCUAGGAUGUUUUGGGUGCCUAACACCUUCCCAUUGC
rnacentral:lncRNA from 1 species